CUCUCCCUCACCACCCUCACCACCACUAAGAUGGACUUUGUGGUUCAGGAAGAAUGGGAAGUCUCGCCCAUGGCACCGCAACCUGAGACCCGCCAUCAGCUUCAACUCCGUGGAGAUGUUCUGGAGUCUCUACAACCACAUCCAGCCAGCCAGCCAUCUCGUAGCCGACUGUGACUACGCAGUGUUCAAGGAGGGGGUGACUCCGAUGUGGGAAGACCCUGCAAACCUUGCAGGUGGACGAUGGUUGAUCUCACUCACACAGCAGCAGCGCUACCUGGACCUGGAUGCCCUGUGGCUGGAG